rnacentral:rRNA from 1 species
ACGAAGGGGGCUAGCGUUGUUCGGAAUUACUGGGCGUAAAGGGCGCGCAGGCGGCCGCUCAAGUCAGAUGUGAAAGCCCCGGGCUCAACCUGGGAACUGCAUUUGAUACUGAGUGGCUAGAGUUCGGGAGAGGAGAGUGGAAUUCCCAGUGUAGAGGUGAAAUUCGUAGAUAUUGGGAAGAACACCGGUGGCGAAGGCGGCUCUCUGGACCGAUACUGACGCUGAGGCGCGAAAGCGUGGGGAGCAAACAGGA